GGUAAAAUGGCUGAGACUAAGCAUUGAACUGUAAAUUCAAAGACAGAGAUUGAACCCUCUUUUUACCA
rnacentral:tRNA from 1 species